rnacentral:rRNA from 1 species
GUACCAGACUCCUACGGGAGGCAGCAGUGAGGAAUAUUGGUCAAUGGGCGGGAGCCUGAACCAGCCAAGUCGCGUGAGGGAAGACGGUCCUAUGGAUUGUAAACCUCUUUAGGCGGGGAGCAAUGCCGGGCACGCGUGUCCGGAGGGAGAGUACCCGCAGAAUAAGCAUCGGCUAACUCCGUGCCAGCAGCCGCGGUAAUACGGAGGAUGCGAGCGUUAUCCGGAUUUAUUGGGUUUAAAGGGUGCGUAGGCGGAUUUUUAAGUCAGCGGUAAAAUUUCGGGGCUCAACCCCGUCGUGCCGUUGAAACUGGCGCUCUUGAGUGAGCGAGAAGUAUGCGGAAUGCGUGGUGUAGCGGUGAAAUGCAUAGAUAUCACGCAGAACUCCGAUUGCGAAGGCAGCAUACCGGCGCUCAACUGACGCUCAUGCACGAAAGCGUGGGUAUCGAACAGGAUUAGAUACCCGCGUAGA